GACGAACGCUGGCGGCGUGCUUAACACAUGCCAGUCGAACGGAAAGGCCCUGCUUUUGUGGGGUGCUCGAGUGGCGAACGGGUGAGUAACACGUGAGUAACCUGCCCUUGACUUUGGGAUAACUUCAGGAAACUGGGGCUAAUACCGGAUAGGAGCUCCUGCUGCAUGGUGGGGGUCGGAAAGUUUCGGCGGUUGGGGAUGGACUCGCGGCUUAUCAGCUUGUUGGUGGGGUAGUGGCUUACCAAGGCUUUGACGGGUAGCCGGCCUGAGAGGGUGACCGGCCACAUUGGGACUGAGAUACGGCCCAGACUCCUACGGGAGGCAGCAGUGGGGAAUAUUGCACAAUGGGCGGAAGCCUGAUGCAGCAACGCCGCGUGCGGGAUGACGGCCUUCGGGUUGUAAACCGCUUUCGCCUGUGACGAAGCGUGAGUGACGGUAAUGGGUAAAGAGGCACCGGCUAACUACGUG
rnacentral:rRNA from 1 species